AUGUAGGGCAAUCUGUCUUUAAGUAGGGAUAAAUUAAAAGAAAUGAAUCCUAGUUUUCCCUUCAAGUCAAGCGUCUUGU
rnacentral:pre_miRNA from 1 species